ensembl:lncRNA
AGGUGAUGGCAUUAAAAGGCGUGUCAGGUUAUUGCCUUCAGUGUAAAGGAUGACGAUAGUGCCUGAAUUGCAUUUGAAUUUGCCAUCAGGUCUGAUGUUCCAUGUGCAGUAGGAGGACAUGAGUUGGUGCACGGGGACUCAGUGCCAUGAACUAAAAAGCCACUGAACAGUUCCCUAGUGACUGGAGUUAAUCAGAUUUCACCAAAUGCCUAACCACGUUGUGGAAGAGAGUCUACAUGUGGGAGACACUGCUCGCUGCAUCUCCAUUUAAUCUCUUUCUCCUUUGAAGCAACGUAUUUCCCACAGGGUUUCCUCAGCACAUUAUCAUAGCCUUUCUACUAUGGCAGAUGGAUUUUUCUUCUGCUGCUUCAGAAGUCUGAACAAAAGAGAGCAAACUGGCAGAAGAAGCCCUGGUUCCUUCUAUAGUCAUCAUGAACUGGAAGAAGACACAAGUUCACUGACAACUGAGGAGUCAGCAAGAUUACAGUGGGGACUGGAUCAGGCAUGGCCUUGUCUCUUGUGGCAGGCAUUAAGUUUGAGAAAUGAAGACUUUUGUCCUACCCUGGAUGAAUGAACACACAUAUCACAGCACAUCUAACUCAUGGACCACUACUCAGCAACCAAAAGAACGGACUACUGAUGCCUCACGGACCACUACUCAGCAAUCAAAAGAAUGGACUACUGAUGCCUUACGGACCACUACUCAGCAAUGAAAAGAACAGACGACUGAUGCCCACACACACA